rnacentral:rRNA from 1 species
UACGAAGGGGGCUAGCGUUGUUCGGAAUUACUGGGCGUAAAGCGCGCGUAGGCGGACGGUCAAGUCGGGGGUGAAAUCUUUCAGCUUAACUGGAAAAGUGCCUCCGAUACUGAUCGUCUCGAGGGAGGUAGGGGCAUGUGGAACUUCCGGUGGAGCGGUGAAAUGCGUAGAUAUCAGGAGGAACACCAAUGGCGAAGGCAGCUCGCUGGGACGUGACUGACGCUGAGACGCGAAAGCGUGGGGAGCAAACAGG